GGGUUUUUAAGUUGGGGGUGAAAUCCCGGAGCUUAACUCCGGAACUGCCUCCAAAACUGGGAGCCUUGAGGUAUGGAGAGGGAAGUGGAAUUCCUGGUGUAGCGGUGAAAUGCGUAGAUAUCAGGAGGAACACCCGUGGCGAAGGCGGCUUCCUGGCCAUAUCCUGACGCUGAGGUGCGAAAGCUAGGGGAGCGAACGGGAUUAGAUACCCCGGUAGUCCUAGCCGUAAACGAUGGAUACUAGGUGUUAGAGGUAUCGACCCCUCUAGUGCCGAAGCUAACGCAUUAAGUAUCCCGCCUGGGGAGUACGGCCGCAAGGCUGAAACUCAAAGGAAUUGACGGGGGCCCGCACAAGCGGUGGAGCAUGUGGUUUAAUACGUCACUAACCGUAGAACCUUACCCAGGCUUGACAUCUGGGGAAUCCUGGUGAAAGCCGGGAGUGCUGUUUACAGAACCCCAAGACAGGUGUUGCAUGGCUGUCGUCAGCUCGUGUCGUGAGAUGCUGGGUUAAGUCCCGCAACGAGCGCAACCCUCAUCCGAUGUUGCCAGCGUAAAGUCGGGAACUCUUCGGAAACUGCCCGUGUAAGCGGGAGGAAGGUGGGGAUGACGUCAAGUCAGCAUGGCCCUUACGCCUGGGGCUACACACAUGCUACAAUGGGCGUUAACAAAGGGCAGCAAUACCGCGAGGUGGAGCGAAUCUCAAAAAUACGUCCUCAGUUCGGAUUGCAGUCUGCAACUCGACUGCAUGAAGUCGGAAUCGCUUAGUAACCGCAGGUCAGCUAAACUGCGGUGAAUACGUUCCCGGGCCUUGUACACACCGCCCGUCACGCCACCUGAGUUGUCUGCACCCGAAGCUCGUGGCCCAACCCGCAAGGGGGGGAGCGAUCGAAGGUGUGGGGAGCGAGGGGGACGAAGUCGUAACAAGGUAACC
rnacentral:rRNA from 1 species